GAUGAAAGAACGCAGCGAAAUGCGAUAAGUAAUGUGAAUUGCAGAAUUCAGUGAAUCAUCGAAUCUUUGAACGCACAUUGCGCCCCCUGGUAUUCCGGGGGGCAUGCCUGUUCGAGCGUCAUUUCACCACUCAAGCCUCGCUUGGUAUUGGGCAACGCGGUCCGCCGCGUGCCUCAAAUCGACCGGCUGGGUCUUCUGUCCCCUAAGCGUUGUGGAAACUAUUCGCUAAAGGGUGCUCGGGAGGCUACGCCGUAAAACAAACCCAUUUCUAAGGUUGACCUCGGAUCAGGUAGGGAUACCCGCUGAACUUAAGCAUAUCAAUAAGCGGAGGA
rnacentral:misc_RNA from 1 species